ensembl:lncRNA
AGUGCUGAUGGUCUUCAGUUGGAUGCACCAAUGUGUCUUUGUGGUGGGAUAACCAUAGUUGCAGCCCCCUGCUCCUAGGGAGACGUGCACCCCCCUGGCUUUCACCCCGCCCUUGCACCGUUCCAUUGCUCUGACAGCAGCUGGAUCCAGCAGAUAUUUCUCAGCUGACGGCAGGCAGAAACUGCUGAUCACCUACAGGGAGCCCUGAAAGCCUCACGUGGACAGAGAAGGCGCCCCACAGGAGGAGACAGUUCCCUGUGCGACUGGUGCCAGCGAGCUGUGGAGAUGUGGCCUUUCCCUGGAAUGAGGAAUGCGUCAAGGAAAGUGCGGUUGCAUAUACUUAUGAACAUAUGGAGGCCCUGGAGUCACACCACAUGGUUUGCCACUAAUUGAAACGGGCUGGCUAACCUCUGAUUGUGGCCACCAGGAGCAACCCUUGGGGAGGGAUGGCAGAGGGGAAGGGCAUCGCAUGGAAUGGGCACAGUCUGUCUUCCAAAGCAUGACUCCUCAUACCCUGAUGUAUCGUAAAUGGAUGGCACAAGCUGGGUCUAGGUUGAGGGGCUUCUUCUAUGUUUGGAGUGCUUGGCUAUUCCUCCAGGCACCUUGCCUCUGGAUUCCCUUAGUGUCUCUUUAACUCUUCACUCCUUGAAUAACUUAGUCUGUCUUUAAGGAACCUCAGCACGUUUGUGAUUUUGCCAGAUACCCUACUGCAAACCUGUAGAACUCUACUGGAUUCCUCAGGCCAUCUGCACAUGUCCAGGUUCGAGGCAUCUCCAGACUCAUGUCCGUGGAAUAGAGACAACGAGCUAAAACUGAGACAAGGUCUGAAUUCCUUGUGUAGUGAGGAUGUAGUGUGUAAGGAACAAAGAAAGACUGUUUUUCUAGAAACAAAACCCACAGGAACAGAGGAAUUUAUAUAAGGAAUUUCUAGAACUAAAACGGGAUGCCACUGUUAUAAGGGAAACGAGGCUUUAAAGUAAGGGUUCUGAAAAAAAAUGUCACAAACCCUACCAUCUAGAAUAUGCUGCUCUUGUAUCAUCAAUUGCUCAAGAAACAAAAGGCCUCCCAUGUAGUUAAUUGUUUGGGUGGUGCGUGGGAACAGCAUGAUUUUCUAUCUUAUUUAUGGUUCUUGUAACAAGCUGAAGGAGUUUUUUCCUUGAGUUGUUCUAGGAAUUUGCUUACUGAAAAAGAAUAACAUUUGAUUUUGAGGGCACGUUAAAAUAUUUUAACGUAGGUUCAAAGUGAAUUCUAAAACAUGCGCAGGCUGACCCAUUCAUCAUCAGGCACUCAAGAUGUGCCCAAACUAUUUCAGGGUACGUCACUAGUGAUGGUGUGAAGCUGUACCUGGCAGUUAUUUAACUCCAUCUUCCAUGGGCUGCUGAGUCUUGGCUAGAGCUCUAACUUUCCACUUACAGCUAUCAGCAUCUGAAGUCAAAUCUCACAGUGCCUUUGAAUGGAGAAGAACAUAUAAGCAUCGUUACAAAUAUGUAUAUUGGGAGGCAGCUGAAGAUUCCUACAUGCCUACAGCCAUCCUUAUUUAAUCUUAAUGUCCCACUGAUCUAAGAGAUGAGAGACAGCAGCUGGACAAUGGGGUAAAGGAGAAGGGGGAGGUGACAAAGAUUGGGAGACCAAUAAAAAUGAUGGGACGUGUAACUCCCAGCUGGCAGGGGACAGUAACCACAGCUUGCCAAUACACGCUACACUUCAUAACCCACAGCACACAUUUCCAGUGUUUCCUUUAUCAUUAAAAACAUUGGAUGAU